UGGCGGCGUGCUUAACACAUGCAAGUCGAGCGAGGAAAUUGCUUCGGUAAUUUCCUAGCGGCGGACGGGUGAGUAACACGUGGGCAACCUGCCUGAUAGAGGGGGAUAGCCUCCCGAAAGGGAGAUUAAUACCGCAUGAAGUCAAAUGAAGGCAUCUUCAAAUGACCAAAGGAGUAAUCCGCUAUCAGAUGGGCCCGCGGCGCAUUAGCUAGUUGGUGAGGUAACGGCUCACCAAGGCGACGAUGCGUAGCCGACCUGAGAGGGUGAUCGGCCACAUUGGGACUGAGACACGGCCCAGACUCCUACGGGAGGCAGCAGUGGGGAAUAUUGCACAAUGGGGGAAACCCUGAUGCAGCAACGCCGCGUGAGUGAUGAAGGCCUUCGGGUUGUAAAGCUCUGUCUUCAGGGACGAUAAUGACGGUACCUGAGGAGGAAGCCACGGCUAACUACGUGCCAGCAGCCGCGGUAAUACGUAGGUGGCAAGCGUUGUCCGGAUUUACUGGGCGUAAAGGGAGCGUAGGCGGAUACUUAAGUGGGAUGUGAAAUACCUGGGCUUAACUUGGGUGCUGCAUUCCAAACUGGGUGUCUAGAGUGUUGGAGAGGAAAGUGGAAUUCCUAGUGUAGCGGUGAAAUGCGUAGAGAUUAGGAAGAACACCAGUGGCGAAGGCGACUUUCUGGACAAUAACUGACGCUGAGGCUCGAAAGCGUGGGGAGCAAACAGGAUUAGAUACCCUGGUAGUCCACGCCGUAAACGAUGGGUACUAGGUGGAGGGGGGUAUCGACUCCCCCCUGUGCCCCCGUUAACACAAUAAGUACCCCCGCCUGGGGAGUACGGUCGCAAGAUUAUAAACUCAAAGGAAAUGACGGGGGCCCGCACAAGCAGCGGAGCAUGUGGUUUAAUUCGAAGCAACGCGAAGAACCUUACCUAGACUCGACAUCUCGUGAAUUACUCUUAAUCGAGGAAGUUCCCCCUUCGGGGAGGACAGGAAGACAGGUGGUGCAUGGUUGUCGUCAGCUCGUGUCGUGAGAUGUUGGGUUAAGUCCCGCAACGAGCGCAACCCUUAUUGUUAGUUGCUACCAUUUAGUUGAGCACUCUAGCAAGACUGCCGUGGUUAACGCGGAGGAAGGUGGGGAUGACGUCAAAUCAUCAUGCCCCUUAUGUCUAGGGCUACACACGUGCUACAAUGGCGAGUACAAAGAGACGCAAAGCCGCGAGGUGGAGCAAAACUUAUAAAACUCGUCUCAGUUCGGAUUGCAGGCUGAAACUCGCCUGCAUGAAGCUGGAGUUGCUAGUAAUCGCGAAUCAGAAUGUCGCGGUGAAUACGUUCCCGGGCCUUGUACACACCGCCCGUCACACCAUGAGAGUUGGCAAUACCCGAAGUCCGUAGCCUAACCUUUUAGGAGGGCGCGGCCGAAGGUAGGGUCAGCGAUUGGGGUGAAG
rnacentral:rRNA from 1 species